rnacentral:rRNA from 1 species
AGCUGGGUUUAGAACGUCGUGAGACAGUUCGGUCCCUAUCUGCCGUGGGCGCUGGAGAAUUGAGGGGGGCUGCUCCUAGUACGAGAGGACCGGAGUGGACGCAUCACUGGUGUUCGGGUUGUCAUGCCAAUGGCACUGCCCGGUAGCUAAAUGCGGAAGAGAUAAGUGCUGAAAGCAUCUAAGCACGAAACUUGCCCCGAGAUGAGUUCUCCCUGAGACUUUAAGUCUCCUGAAGGAACGUUGAAGACGACGACGUUGAUAGGCCGGGUGUGUAAGCGCAGCGAUGCGUUGAGCUAACCGGUACUAAUGAACCGUGAGGCUUAACCUUACAACGCCGAAG